rnacentral:lncRNA from 1 species
ACUGUCCCCUAGGACCCCUACUGUUCCCCAAAAAGUCUGGAUUCCUGGCCACUGUCGCUCUCCUGACCAACUUCCUUUUCUUCAAUAUCUUGAAUUUCUGUUUCCGAUGGGUCCAGUAACCGUCCUUAACGCCGUUUGAGGAAAAUGGAUCGUAGACUGACGGGAGAGAGAGGCUGCCGUCAUCGUCGGAGCUGUUGCUCGCGAGU